UUCACUUGGAACAUAAAAUUUGCAAAAGCAACUACUGGUAGUGAGGUGCUAUCAGUCGAGAUAUGACAGUCAUGCAGUAUAGGAGCCCAUGCACAGGGGGUUUCAUGAUUAUGUAUAUUGAGGUAAAAUUAAAAUGGGUAUCAUCCUAGAUAAAGGGGAUCAUAGGGUAAAAAGGAUGAUUGGAUUCUAUGUGGGGUUUCAUUUUUUUCCGAUAUUAGCCAUUAGGGGUGGUAGAAAAGUUUGAUUGAUGGAUAGAUUCUCAGGAGUCAAGUGAAAUUAGCAGCAUAACAAUUCUGAGGAAUAAUCCAAUGAAUGAUUUUUUAAAGUCUGAUAGAAUUCUAGCAUGCCAUAUUGAUUACAUUGAUGAAGAAGAUUAAAGACUAGAGAUUCUAGCUUAUGAUGUAAUCUACAAUUCUAAGACAUGAAUAAUAUGAAUUUCGAACUUCUGUAUAGUUACAAUUAGCUAAGAAGUAAAUUACAGCUUCAUAUUAGAGCUAGCUCCUACUAAAGAGCUUAAGUACAGAGAAGUGUUUUUUAUCUGUACAGCUUCAAUGACUGCUAUUAUAGGGGUGUUGUUCAUUCAUUUAUCCCUUGCAGCCAAAGGUUACUCUUCCAUUGUUGUUCAGGCCAUUCAAGGCCUUCUCUUAUUGGUGAAUGAGGAUCCUCUCACUGUCAAAGUUGAUCAUCUGAAGGCAAGGCAUUGAAUGUUUUCUUUUUCGCAAUUUUUUCUUUAAACUGUUUUCUUGUAAGUUGUAAUUGCUUGUUUGGAUUAAUGCCGAGCUGAUCGAGGCCACUCUUCUUGUUGUAGGAUUUAACAUAUGACAAAGACGAUGAUGUCAUAAAAGCAACCUCAUUUGAGGUUAUAUCUACUGUAAGGGAUGUAUUGCAAAGUUCACUCUGGAGGGAUCAUGUUCAAACAUAUACAAAGGGUUAUGAGAUUUGCGUUUGAGUUCCAGAUUUGAAGUUGGUUUCGAUCCAGACACCAUAUUUGAAGUCCGUUUUGGUUCCAGAUUUUUGUCGUGGAGUUUAAAGUGUACAUGUAAUUAUAUGAGAUUUGUAUUAGAUUUUGUUCUAAGUAUACUAGAAUUUAGUUCUAGAAUUAUUUUUUCACUUGUAAGUACAUUAAUUAUCAAUAAUAAUUGAAUUGAUUAA